AGUCACUGACAUUAGAUACCCCUGUAGUCCCAGCCGUAAACAAUGUGCGUUAGGUGUGUCGGUAACCACGUGUUACUGAUGCGCCGAAGAGAAAUCGUGAAACGCACCACCUGGGAAGUACGGUCGCAAGGCUGAAACUUAAAGGAAUUGGCAGGGAGCACCACAACAGGUGGAGCCUGCGGUUUAAUUGGAUUCAACGCCGGACAUCUCACCGGAUAAGACAGCUGAAUGAUUGUCAAUCUGAAGGUUUUACAUGACUAGCUG
rnacentral:rRNA from 1 species